AGAGUUUGAUCCUGGCUCAGUGGCGGCGUGCCUAACACAUGCAAGUCGAGCGAUGAAGUUUCCUUCGGGAAAUGGAUUAGCGGCGGACGGGUGAGUAACACGUGGGUAACCUGCCUUAUAGUGGGGGAUAGCCUUUCGAAAGGAAGAUUAAUACCGCAUAAGAUUGUAGUAUCGCAUGAUAUAGCAAUUAAAGGAGCAAUUCGCUAUAAGAUGGACCCGCGUCGCAUUAGCUAGUUGGUGAGGUAAUGGCUCACCAAGGCGACGAUGCGUAGCCGACCUGAGAGGGUGAUCGGCCACAUUGGGACUGAGACACGGCCCAGACUCCUACGGGAGGCAGCAGUGGGGAAUAUUGCACAAUGGGCGAAAGCCUGAUGCAGCAACGCCGCGUGAGUGAUGACGGCCUUCGGGUUGUAAAACUCUGUCUUCAGGGACGAUAAUGACGGUACCUGAGG
rnacentral:rRNA from 1 species